GAAGGGCACUGGUAACUCUUAGCC
rnacentral:piRNA from 1 species